UGAGAAAGCUCUGCCAUUGACCCACCAGAGCUUUUGGCCGCUACCGGAGCUGUUGUCGGGUCGGUCCGGAAUCGCAGCUACUUCAUUUUGUUGUUUCGGUGAGUAAUUAUGUUUCGAAAUCCUGCGUUAGUGUCCCGUACGUGUGUUAAAGCCUUUACGAUAUUAAUGUUCUUAAGAUUUAGUAA